rnacentral:rRNA from 1 species
AUUGAACGCUGGCGGCAGGCCUAACACAUGCAAGUCGAGCGAGAGGCGGACGGGUGUGUAUUGUAUGGGGACUGCCCGAUAGAGGGGGAUAACUACUGGAAACGGUAGCUAAUACCGCAUACUAUCGGAUAACCCAUAUGGGUUUAGCUCGUAGGUGUGGUAAUGGCUCACAUAGGCGACGAUCCCUAGCUGGUCUGAGAGGAUGAUCAGCCACACGGGAACUGAGACACGGCCCAGACUCCUACGGAGGCAGCAGUGGGGAAUAUUGCACAAUGGGCGCAAGCCUGAUGCAGACAUGCCGCGUGUAUGAAGAAGGCCCUAGGGUUGUAAAGUACUUUCAGGCGGGAGGCGUUACCGGCAGAAGAAGCACCGGCUAACUCCGUGCCAGCAGCCGCGGUAAUUC